ensembl:ncRNA T25D10.9 ncRNA
AAGGAUAUGAUACUAGAUCCCAUAAAAAGGCGACAACCUCAUCCUUCUUUCUCCCACAUGUCGCCAGUCGGCACCGUCCAUAAAACAUAAAAUGCUUGUAUUUGUGACCUGUGAGGCGCCACGCAUUCUCA